rnacentral:rRNA from 1 species
CCAGACUCCUACGGGAGGCAGCAGUGGGGAAUAUUGCGCAAUGGGCGAAAGCCUGACGCAGCGACGCCGCGUGAGGGAUGAAGGUCUUCGGAUUGUAAACUUCUUUUGUACGGGACGAAGAAAGUGACGGUACCGUAAGAAUAAGCCACGGCUAACUACGUGCCAGCAGCCGCGGUAAUACGUAGGUGGCAAGCGUUAUCCGGAUUUAUUGGGUGUAAAGGGCGUGUAGGCGGGAAUGCAAGUCAGAUGUGAAAACUAUGGGCUCAACCCAUAGCCUGCAUUUGAAACUGUUUUUCUUGAGUACUGGAGAGGCAGACGGAAUUCCUAGUGUAGCGGUGAAACGCGUAGAUAUUAGGAGGAACACCAGUGGCGAAGGCGGUCUGCUGGACAGCAACUGGCGCUGAGGCGCGAAAGCGUGGGGAGCAAACAGGAUUAGAUACCCUGGUAC